rnacentral:rRNA from 1 species
CGGCGACGGGUGAGUAACGCGUGGAUAACCUGCCUCAUACAGGGGGAUAACAGUUAGAAAUGACUGCUAAUACCGCAUAAGCGCACAGGACCGCAUGGUCCGGUGUGAAAAACUCCGGUGGUAUGGGAUGGAUCCGCGUCUGAUUAGCUGGUUGGUGAGGUAACGGCCCACCAAGGCGACGAUCAGUAGCCGACCUGAGAGGGUGGCCGGCCACAUUGGGACUGAGACACGGCCCAAACUCCUACGGAAGGCAGCAG